rnacentral:rRNA from 1 species
GACGAACGCUGGCGGCGUGCUUAACACAUGCAAGUCGAACGGAAAGGCCCUGCUUUUGUGGGGUGCUCGAGUGGCGAACGGGUGAGUAACACGUGAGUAACCUUCCCUUGACUUUGGGAUAACUUCAGGAAACUGGGGCUAAUACCUGAUAGGAGCUCCUGCUGCAUGGUGGGGGUUGGAAAGUUUCGGCGGUUGGGGAUGGACUCGCGGCUUAUCAGCUUGUUGGUGGGGUAGUGGCUUACCAAGGCUUUGACGGGUAGCCGGCCUGAGAGGGUGACCGGCCACAUUGGGACUGAGAUACGGCCCAGACUCCUACGGGAGGCAGCAGUGGGGAAUAUUGCACAAUGGGCGGAAGCCUGAUGCAGAAACGCCGCGUGCGGGAUGACGGCCUUCGGGUUGUAAACCGCUGUCGCCUGUGACGAAGCGUGAGUGACGGUAAUGGGUAAAGAAGCACCGGCUAACUACGUG